rnacentral:lncRNA from 1 species
AUGUAAGAUCAGGAGGCAAAACCUUCAACUGAUGACUUGGAGGAUAAGAAGGAAUGAGAAUAUGUUAAACUCAAAGUCAUUGGACAGGAUAGCAGCGAGAUUCACUUCAAAGUGAAAAUGACAACACAUCUCAAGAAACUCAAAGAAUCAUACUGUCAAAGGCAGGGAGUUCCAAUGAAUUCACUCAGAUUUGUCUUUGAAGAUCAGAGAAUUGCUGCUACUCAUACUAUAAAAGAACUGGGAAUGGAGUAAGAAGAUGUGAUUGAAGUUUAUCAUGAGCAAAUGAGGUCAUUCAGUAGUUUAG